UACCCGCGGCCCGAGUGGUGGUCGAUAUUAUUGAGCCUAAAACGUCCGUAGCCGGUCUUGUAAAUCCUUGGGUAAAUCGACCAGCUUAACUGUUCGAAGUCCGGGGAGACUGCAAGACUUGGGAUCGGGAGAGGUGAGAGGUACUUCUGGGGUAGGGGUAAAAUCCUGUAAUCCUAGAAGGACCACCGGUGGCGAAGGCGUCUCACUAGAACGAAUCCGACGGUGAGGGACGAAGCCCUGGGGCGCAAACGGGAUUAGAUACCCCGGUAGUCCAGGGUGUAAACGCUGCGGGCUUGGUGUUGGGGGUCCUUUGAGGGCGCCCAGUGCCGGAGAGAAGUUGUUAAGCCUGCUGCUUGGGGAGUACGUCCGCAAGGAUGAAACUUAAAGGAAUUGGCGGGGGAGCACCGCAACGGGAGGAGCGUGCGGUUCAAUUGGAUUCAACGCCGGACAACUCACCAGGAGCGACGGUUACAUGAAGGCCAGGCUGAUGACCUUGCCUGAUUUUCC
rnacentral:rRNA from 1 species